UCGGAUAUUGGUAAUGCAUAGUCGAAAAUAACUUCAAUUCAAUACAGUGUGUAAAAGAAUCUAUAAGAGGUAGCUCACAUAUUUUCAAUUGACUAAACAAUUGUAUAUAAUUUAAUUUUGAUCCAUAAACUUAAAAGAAAAAUUUAUCAAAUCAAGAGCACUAUAUAAUCUAUGUAAAGGGAUGUUAUUGUGAAAAAAGAAAAGUAGAUGCAAUUCAUAUAUUAGAAGAAAAGAUCGGAAAACAGAAUAAAAUUCAAGAAAAAAGAAAUGAUAUUUUAAAAUGUUUAAUUUCUUUAAUAGAAAAUAAUGUAGAAUAUAUGGAUAAAUAAAUAAAAAAUAUUUUGAUUUAUUUAGUUUAAAUUAAAUUUGAUUCAGAUCAACGUCUUCAUCUAACAUGAUAAAUAACAUUAGAUUAAUAUUUUUUUUUAAUAACUCAAUAGUAAUAUAUAACUGAUAAUAUAUAACUUGGGGAUAUUUUUGGUUAUUUAUUGAAUAAAUUACUUUAUAUCCUUAUCCAAAACAUAUAGUUUAUACAGUUUGAUCACAAUAUAAAAUAUGCUUACACUUGCUUUAAACAUAUAAUUGAAAAAAUACAUCCAGCAGAAAUCUUAUGCUAUCGGCAGUGCUUAUUAAGCUGCUUAUUCUGCUAUAUACAACUAUCAGCAUGGAAUACUAUAAUGAUGUUAUUUAUGAUACAAGUUCUAAAUAAACUUCUGUAAUAAACGUAUUGAUUGGCGAAAAGAAUACAUAUGUCGAUAUUGCAGUUUUCUAAUAUAGUGACGACUGUUCUUACAGAUUUAAUAUAACCUUAAUAUAUACGUAUACAUUAGUAGAUACAUAAUAUUGCACAUAUUAUAUACCAUGUAAAGAUAUAUCCAUAUAUUAUUGCGUUGCCUGAUUUUCCAUGUACGAGUCUUUUAUAUUAGAGUUUGGGAGUAUUGACAAAUUCUGAUAUUAUAUAAAUUCUAAAUAGAUCAACCAGAAUAAAUAUCUUGAAAGAAA